UGUUUGUAUUUUGAAAAUUAUUAUUUCCAUUUCCCCGAGAUCAAAGUGGCCUGGUGGAACUUACCUCCGAGUCGCGUGUUCUGGGGAUCCUGACCGUCAGACCGAGGCGGAGUCCCGCCGAGGAGUCGGCUGGUGACACAGACGUCCGGACGCUCCGGGAAGGCAGAGUCUGCAACCGGCUCCGCCGUCUCUCUUGACCCCGCGCUCGCAAGACACUUCUCUAGUAAACCCGGGAAUGUCUACAAAUGACGGGGAGAAGCAAUUUAAUAUUUCUUAAGCUCCCACGUGAGGACACUCAAGGACACUCCAUCCCAGCUGUGGACCGAUGCGACGCUUUUGAAAACUUCUAUCCCCCGGGCUCAAGAGGAAAUUCACC